AUACAUAGGGGGCAAGCGUUAUCCGGAAUUACUGGGUGUAAAGGGUGCGUAGGCGGCAAUGUAAGUCAGAUGUGAAAACCCACUGCUUAACAGUGGGAAUGCAUUUGAAACUAUAUAGCUAGAGUAUGGGAGAGGAAAGUGGAAUUCCUAGUGUAGCAGUGAAAUGCGUAGAUAUUAGGAGGAACACCAGUGGCGAAGGCGACUUUCUGGACCAAAACUGACGCUGAGGCACGAAAGCGUGGGGAGCAAACAGGAUUAGAUCCCCUGGUAGUCCACGCCGUAAACGAUGAAUGCUAGGUGUUGGGGGCUAGACCCUCGGUGCCAAAGUUAACGCAUUAAGCAUUCCACCUGGGGAGUACGGCCGCAAGGUUGA
rnacentral:rRNA from 1 species